rnacentral:misc_RNA from 1 species
ACAAACUUGGUCAUUUAGAGGAAGUAAAAGUCGUAACAAGGUCUCCGUAGGUGAACCUGCGGAGGGAUCAUUAUCGAGCGGUGGCCUCACGGCCCCUCACCCCUUGAAAAUCGUGGAGGAGAAGCCUGCUUUGGCGCCCGAGGCGCCAGAUUUAUGCCGAAAGCCAGUUAGAUUCUGAACGAGACACAAAAAUGAAAACUUUCAACAAAGGAUCUCUUGGCUCUUGCAUCGAUGAAAGACAAACUUGGUCAUUUAGAGGAAGUAAAAGUCGUAACAAGGUCUCCGUAGGUGAACCUGCGGAGGGAUCAUUAUCGAGCGGUGGCCUCACGGCCCCUCACCCCUUGAAAAUCGUGGAGGAGAAGCCUGCUUUGGCGCCCGAGGCGCCAGAUUUAUGCCGAAAGCCAGUUAGAUUCUGAACGAGACACAAAAAUGAAAACUUUCAACAAAGGAUCUCUUGGCUCUUGCAUCGAUGAAGAACGCAGC